UGGCUGUCGUCAGCUCGUGCUGUGAAGUUGUUGGGUUAAGUCCCGUAACGAGCGCAACCCUUGUCCUUAGUUACCAGCACGUUAUGGUGGGCACUCUAAGGAGACUGCCGGUGACAAACCGGGAGGAAGGUGGGGAUGACGUCAAGUCAUCAUGGCCCUUACGGCCUGGGCUACACACGUGCUACAAUGGUCGGUACAAAGGGUUGCCAAGCCGCGAGGUGGAGCUAAUCCCAUAAAACCGAUCGUAGUCCGGAUCGCAGUCUGCAACUCGACUGCGUGAAGUCGGAAUCGCUAGUAAUCGUGAAUCAGAAUGUCACGGUGAAUACGUUCCCGGGCCUU
rnacentral:rRNA from 1 species